GUUCUUGAUAGAGGCGCGGAGGCCAUCAGUAGCGGGGCGCGCAGUUCCGAGCAGCUUCGGACGCCCGCGCGAAGGGGCUCUCGAGACCAAGAAGGUCGCAUGGCAAUUGCCAUCCGCCGAAAUCGCCGCGGAAGCUGAAUCCGCCGCGGUUGGGGGGCAGGUCUAAGGCCUGUCCACUGUCAUCCGAUGGAGUGCGAUCGCACGGCGAUCGACCAAAACGGAUGGAGCGCUAUCGAGAGG
rfam:Acidobacteria bacterium 13_1_20CM_2_60_10 13_1_20cm_2_scaffold_5875, whole genome shotgun sequence.